AAUCAACGCUGGCGGCAUGCCUAACACAUGCAAGUCGAGCGAGAAAGUGUAGCAAUACAUGAGUACAGCGGCGCACGGGUGAGUAACACGUGGAUAACCUGCCUCAAAGUGGGGAAUAACACCGGGAAACCGGUGCUAAUACCGCAUACUCUGACGAGGUCUGUGGAUUUCGUCAGGAAAGGAGCAAUUCGCUAUGAGAGGGGUCCGCGGCUGAUUAGCUAGUUGGUGAGGUAAUGGCUCACCAAGGCCACGAUCAGUAGCCGGUCUGAGAGGACGGUCGGCCACACUGGAACUGAGACACGGUCCAGACUCCUACGGGAGGCAGCAGUGGGGAAUUUUUCGCAAUGGGGGCAACCCUGACGAAGCAAUGCCGCGUGGAUGAUGAAGUCUCUUGGGACGUAAAAUCCUUUCGACGGGGACGAAACCGCAAGGUUGACGGUACCCGUAGAAGAAGCCCCGGCUAACUCCGUGCCAGCCGCCGCAGUAAAAC
rnacentral:rRNA from 1 species